GGCCACGUACCCAAGUAGGUAAGGGGGCAGUUUGCAAAACUGCUAUACGUCGGUGCAAAUCCGACCGUGGCCU
rnacentral:tRNA from 1 species